rnacentral:lncRNA from 1 species
CCCCUUAUUCCUAAAAACCUGUUGGAACCAAAACUCCCAAAAUCAAACCCAACCUUCCUUUUAUGGUCGUAAACCUUGUGUUUAAAUUUCAAAGAUUUCUAUUUACUUAUACUAAAGUUAUGGUGCGAAAACCAAGAAUAAUGCUUACUUGGGCCCCUUUUUGGCCCCUAAUUCCUAAACUGUUCAGACCUCAACUCCCAAAAUCAAUCCCAACCUUCCUUUUGUGGUCAUAAACCUUGUGUUUAAAUUUCAUUGAUUUCUAUUUACUUAUACUAAGUUAUUGUGCGAAAACCAAGAAUAAUGCUUAUUUUGGCCCUUUUUUGGCCCCUAAUUCCUAAACUGUUUGAACUAAAACUCCCAAAAUCAAUCCAAACCUUCCUUUUGUGGUCAUAAACCUUGUGUCAAAAUUUCAUAGAUUUCUAUAUACUUAAACUAAAGUUAUAGUGCGAAAACCAAGAAAAUGCUUAUUUGGGCCCUUUUUGGCCCCCAAUUCCUAAAAUUUUGGGACCAAAACUCCCAAAAUCAAUCCCAACCUUUCUUUUGUGGUUAUAAACCUUGUGUUAAAAUUUCAUAGAUUUCUAUUCACUCUUACUAAAGUUAGAGUGCGAAAACUAAAAGUAUUCGGACGACGA